GACGAACGCUGGCGGCGUGCCUAAUACAUGCAAGUAGAACGCUGAAGCUUGGUGCUUGCGCCGAGCGGAUGAGUUGCGAACGGGUGAGUAACGCGUAGGUAACCUGCCUGGUAGCGGGGGAUAACUAUUGGAAACGAUAGCUAAUACCGCAUAAGAGUAGAUGUUGCAUGACAUUUGCUUAAAAGGUGCAAUUGCAUCACUACCAGAUGGACCUGCGUUGUAUUAGCUAGUUGGUGAGGUAACGGCUCACCAAGGCAACGAUACAUAGCCGACCUGAGAGGGUGAUCGGCCACACUGGGACUGAGACACGGCCCAGACUCCUACGGGAGGCAGCAGUAGGGAAUCUUCGGCAAUGGACGGAAGUCUGACCGAGCAACGCCGCGUGAGUGAAGAAGGUUUUCGGAUCGUAAAGCUCUGUUGUAAGAGAAGAACGAGUGUGAGAGUGGAAAGUUCACACUGUGACGGUAUCUUACCAGAAAGGGACGGCUAACUACGUGCCAGCAGCCGCGGUAAUACGUAGGUCCCGAGCGUUGUCCGGAUUUAUUGGGCGUAAAGCGAGCGCAGGCGGUUAGAUAAGUCUGAAGUUAAAGGCUGUGGCUUAACCAUAGUACGCUUUGGAAACUGUUUAACUUGAGUGCAAGAGGGGAGAGUGGAAUUCCAUGUGUAGCGGUGAAAUGCGUAGAUAUAUGGAGGAACACCGGUGGCGAAAGCGGCUCUCUGGCUUGUAACUGACGCUGAGGCUCGAAAGCGUGGGGAGCAAACAGG
rnacentral:rRNA from 1 species